rnacentral:rRNA from 1 species
CCCUUAGAUGUUCUGGGCCGCACGCGCACUACACUGAUGAAUUCAACGAGCCUAACCUUGGCCGAAAGGUCUGGGUAAUCUCCAAAUUUCGUCGUGAUGGGGAUAGAUUAUUGCAAUUAUUAAUCUUCAACGAGGAAUGCCUAGUAAGCGCAAGUCAUCAGCUUGCGUUGAUUACGUCCCUGCCCUUUGUACACACCGCCCGUCGCUCCCACCGAUUGAAUGGUCCGGUGAAGCGUUCGGACCGUGGCCUUUGGACGGUUCGCCGUCUGUUGGCUGCGGGAAGUUCGUUAAACCUUAUCAUUUAGAGGAAGGAGAAGUCGUANCA